UACGGAGGGUGCAAGCGUUAUCCGGAUUCACUGGGUUUAAAGGGUGCGUAGGUGGGCUGGUAAGUCAGUGGUGAAAUCUCCAGGCUUAACUUGGAUACUGCCAUUGAUACUAUCAGUCUUGAAUACCGUGGAGGUCAGCGGAAUAUGUCAUGUAGCGGUGAAAUGCUUAGAUAUGACAUAGAACACCAAUUGCGAAGGCAGCUGGCUACACGAAUAUUGACUCUGAGGCACGAAAGCGUGGGGAUCAAACAGG
rnacentral:rRNA from 1 species